AGUCGAACGGAAAGGCCCUGCUUUUGUGGGGUGCUCGAGUGGCGAACGGGUGAGUAACACGUGAGUAACCUGCCCUUGACUUUGGGAUAACUUCAGGAAACUGGGGCUAAUACCGGAUAGGAGCUCCUGCUGCAUGGUGGGGGUUGGAAAGUUUCGGCGGUUGGGGAUGGACUCGCGGCUUAUCAGCUUGUUGGUGGGGUAGUGGCAUACCAAGGCUUUGACGGGUAGCCGGCCUGAGAGGGUGACCGGCCACAUUGGGACUGAGAUACGGCCCAGACUCCUACGGGAGGCAGCAGUGGGGAAUAUUGCACAAUGGGCGGAAGCCUGAUGCAGCAACGCCGCGUGCGGGAUGACGGCCUUCGGGUUGUAAACCGCUUUCGCCUGUGACGAAGCGUGAGUGACGGUAAUGGGUAAAGAAGCACCGGCUAACUACGUGCCAGCAGCCGCGGUGAUACGUAGGGUGCGAGCGUUGUCCGGAUUUAUUGGGCGUAAAGGGCUCGUAGGUGGUUGAUCGCGUCGGAAGUGUAAUCUUGGGGCUUAACCCUGAGCGUGCUUUCGAUACGGGUUGACUUGAGGAAGGUAGGGGAGAAUGGAAUUCCUGGUGGAGCGGUGGAAUGCGCAGAUAUCAGGAGGAAUACCAGUGGCGAAGGCGGUUCUCUGGGCCUUUCCUGACGCUGAGGAGCGAAAGCGUGGGGAGCGAACAGGAUUAG
rnacentral:rRNA from 1 species